rnacentral:tRNA from 1 species
GAGGGUAUAGCUCAGUAGUAGAGUGCAUGCCUAGCAUGUACAAGGUCCUGGGUUCAAUCCCCAGUACCUCCA